GAUGAACGCUGGCGGCGUGCUUAACACAUGCAAGUCGAACGAAGCACUUUAUUUGAUUUCCUUCGGGACUGAUUAUUUUGUGACUGAGUGGCGGACGGGUGAGUAACGCGUGGGUAACCUGCCUUAUACAGGGGGAUAACAGUUGGAAACGGCUGCUAAUACCGCAUAAGCGCACAGCAUCGCAUGAUGCAGUGUGAAAAACUCCGGUGGUAUAAGAUGGACCCGCGUUGGAUUAGCUAGUUGGUGAGGUAACGGCCCACCAAGGCGACGAUCCAUAGCCGACCUGAGAGGGUGACCGGCCACAUUGGGACUGAGACACGGCCCAAACUCCUACGAGAGGCAGCAGUGGGGAAUAUUGCACAAUGGGCGAAAGCCUGAUGCAGCGACGCCGCGUGAGCGAAGAAGUAUUUCGGUAUGUAAAGCUCUAUCAGCAGGGAAGAUAAUGACGGUACCUGACUAAGAAGCACCGGCUAAAUACGUG
rnacentral:rRNA from 1 species